rnacentral:rRNA from 1 species
UACGGAGGGUGCAAGCGUUCUCCGGAUUCACUGGGUUUAAAGGGUGCGUAGGCGGGUAUAUAAGUCAGUGGUGAAAGCUCCGGGCUUAACUUGGAAACUGCCAUUGAUACUGUAUAUCUUGAAUAUCGUAGAGGUUAGCGGAAUGUUGCAUGUAGCGGUGAAAUGCUUAGAUAUGUUACAGAACACCAAUUGCGAAGGCAGCUAACUAUGCGAUGAUUGACGCUGAGGCACGAAAGCGUGGGGAGCAAACAGG